AUGUUCUGGGCCGCCGCCCCGCUACAUUGACAAAGCCAACGAGUCCAUACCUUGUCCGAAAGGCCUGGGUAAUCUUGUUAAACUCUGUCGUGCUGGGGAUAGAGCAUUGCAAUUAUUGCUCUUCAACGAGGAAUUCCUAGUAAGCGCAAGUCAUCAGCUUGCGUUGAUUACGUCCCUGCCCUUUGUACACACCGCCCGUCGCUACUACCGAUUGAAUGGCU
rnacentral:rRNA from 1 species